rnacentral:rRNA from 1 species
GACGGAGGAGGCAAGCGUUAUCCGGAAUUAUUGGGCGUAAAGAGCUCGUAGGCGGUUUGUCGCGUCUGCCGUGAAAGUCCGGGGCUCAACUCCGGAUCUGCGGUGGGUACGGGCAGACUAGAGUGAUGUAGGGGAGACUGGAAUUCCUGGUGUAGCGGUGAAAUGCGCAGAUAUCAGGAGGAACACCGAUGGCGAAGGCAGGUCUCUGGGCAUUAACUGACGCUGAGGAGCGAAAGCAUGGGGAGCGAACAGG